UACGUAGGUGGCAAGCGUUGUCCGGAAUCACUGGGCGUAAAGCGCGCGCAGGCGGAUUGGUCAGUCUGGGGUGAAAUCUCUCGGCUCAACUGAGAGAGGUCCCUGGAUACUGCCAGUCUUGAGGGGCUCAGAGGAGAGUGGAAUUCCGCGUGUAGUGGUGGAAUGCGUAGAUACGCGGAGGAACACCAGUGGCGAAAGCGGCUCUCUGGGGGCCACCUGACGCUGAGGCGCGAAAGCGUGGGGAGCGAACCGG
rnacentral:rRNA from 1 species